UAAUCCAUGUGACAAUUAGAUUUGAAUUUAGCUAAUUAUGCCCUAUCAAGGCGUUGGUGAACAUCAACUUCCAAAAAGUAUUGUUUCCCUGUUUUCUGUGACCAUGGUCCAUGGAGUUAUAUUAUAUACAUUACUCCCGACCAAUUGCCACGAUGAUUUUCUAGGCCUAGGCCUAGGCCUGUCUAGUCUAUCAGUCGUCAUUUGCGAAGAUGGUAUCUCAAUAGAAGAGGCAGAUUUUAUGGAGGUCGUAAAAAAUUAUCCUUGUCUAUAUGACAAGAGUUGCAGAGAAUUUAAAAACAGGGAUACAAAACGGGCUGCAUGGAAAGCAGUGGGGAGAGAAUUGGGGCAUGAACACCCCGAGGCCCUUUACAAAACGAUACGAGAUCGCUUUACAAGAUACCUGAGAGGACUGAAAGUCCCCUCUGGAAGUGGGAGUGUUCCACUCUCAGCUCCUUAUGAGAGUUUGCGCUGGCUGACUGGAUUUAUUAAACACAGAAAAACUGUAUCAAACGAUGAUAUUUUCUUGCCACGUUGAUGCUAGAAAAGAUAACACAUUGAAGUGGUUAGCAGACUUGAGUGCUAAUAAUUCUACACCGCACGUGCACUUGAGUCGUGUAUAUUGGUAAUUCAGAUGCUUGUGGGCAGAGACACUGGUAUCUUGCUAUAAGGUUUACACAAUCUUCUAGCAGCAUAAGCUGUGAUGUUGUUGACAUCCAAGGUCCAGCCAUCAGUUGCUUGUGGCUGCUUCAUGAGGAUAUGAGGUAUAAAGCUGGGCACUCACUGCAUCAUAGGACGGUCAGCCAGCACUCACUGCAUCAUAGGACGGUCAGCCGGCACUCACUGCAUCAUAGGACGGUCAGCCGGCACUCACUGCAUCAUAGGACGGUCAGCCGGCAAAUUCCACUCAGCUUCCUGUGAGUCUGCUGAUUGUCGGUGGCAGUGUGAACAUUGUCAUUAAAAACAAUCCAUCGCGUGGUGUUGGGGGUGGCGCCAGAAUUUGCCCGACGGGGGCCGAUGUCCCUGACGAAGAAAAAAAUGGCCAUGGUCGGUCGUCGAUCAAAAUCCCAGGAAACCCCUGAAAAAUAUGACAAUUUAGGGUGUUUCAAAGGCUUAUUUAAUCGCAUUUUAAUUUAGAGUUUACUGAAAGUCUACUGUAGAAAAUACAUUUUUUUCCCCCGACGAAUUGUGGUUUUUCUCCCCGACAAAGGGGCCCUGGCCCCCUCCAUGGCAUUGCGUGUUCCAUAGAAUAGCGACAACCAACGGUCGCAGUGAAUGCCCGGCUUAAAUUUGACAGUCGGAGAGCUCAGGAUACUGACAUUUGCUGCAGGCAUUAACAAAUUUCAUGUGGAAUCAAAGCUAACAAUUAAUCUGUUUUUUUGAAGGAGCUAUUUUUUAAUUAUUAGUUGGCAUCUUGCAGCAGAAUGUGAGACUGGUGCCAUUAAGGUCAGAUCAUAAAGAUUUUAUUCCUAAUAAUACCAUCAUGGUCAGAUGGGUAUUCAAUGGUCAUACCAGGUGUAGCACUUUGGUCAUCGGAUUUAUUGGGUGUGAUGUAAAUAUUAAGGUUUGUUUAAUUACUCAACAACAGUGGGUCCAGUAUUAAUGAGUUUCAUUUUAUUGCUGAUAAAUUGGUUUUGAUUGGCUAAUAAUCCUAGGUAAUUUCUUAAUCAUGUGUAACUGUAAUCAUGAUUAAAAAAAUUACGAUCAGUGGCAAUUCUAAGAUAGGGAAGUGGAGGAAGUGUCAGACUACUUUAAAAUCAUAAAUUAACAUUGUAUCAUGUAAAUUUGGUGAAAGCUAGGCCUAACGCAGGCCUGUAGCGAAGUAAAAGCAAUAUUCCCCUUCCCCUUCAGGCAUACCGUAUGUUGUGUAAACUUUCAUGUUUGGCCUAGAUCUUCCUUUAAGCUUCCUCUAAUAGUGUAAUAACAUUCUACUUUUCUUUAGGGAUCUAAUUAAAGUGUUGUAAAGGGUAUUGAGGUUUGAUAUUCUGACAUGUGUAUUGGAUGAAAGAGCUCAAUUCACAACAAUGGAUGAGGGGAAAAUGUAAAAAUGAAUAAAUAAUGAAUGAAGGUAAGAAUAAAGCAAGAGUUUCGAACCCCUGACCUCAAGGUUGGGAGUCCAAGCCACAACCGAUGCACCAAACCGCUUAUACAAUACAUUAAAAAAGAGAUAAUGUACACUUCAUUUCACUGGUCAACCUUGUGUUAUUUGUGAGCAGUUCUCUAUCUUCAGUGACUGACAUGUUAAAAAACACCUUUUUAAAGUGAUUCCUUAGAUUUAUAGGCAGUGGGGUUGUGCUGGAAUUACAGGGCAUAGUGGUCUUCAUAUGAUUUACAGCAAGGGAACCCAGUGGGUAGGCUCAGGCAUCUGGUUUGCUGUAAAUCACACCUAGUUAAACAAUGAAAGUUUGGAGAAAGGGGUUUUAAGCAGGCUUUAAUUGGAGAGGUGUUUGUAGACUUACGAGCAUGAUGAAGAGGAGGAAGAGAUAUAACGAUGAAACUGAGAAAGAGGAAGAGAAAUAAUAAUAAUAAUAAUUACUUUAUUUAAACACGGAAAAACUUGAUCACCCAAGGGUGUUUUUCAUCAAGGCCGUGCAAGGCCAAGUGGUAAAAUAU
rnacentral:misc_RNA from 1 species